GGUUGUUGUUAUUGUUCAAAGUUUUGAUCAAAGUAAUUUUAGUUUUACAAGAAGGAAUGAAAUGAAUUAGGUACUUAUAUGGACCAAUAAAAACAUGAACACAUCCAACAGAAAACUUCACUAAAUAUUUAGAAAAAUUCAUCUUCCGCCCAUUUGGGAACCCAUAAAUGAUGAACUAGUGAAAUAUGAAAUGUAUUGUACAAUGAUUUACAUAAAGUUUAUGUAACCCCCAAAGGCAUUAUGGGUAAUUAUGCUGAAUAUAUA
rnacentral:lncRNA from 1 species